rnacentral:rRNA from 1 species
AACGAACGCUGGCGGCAGGCUUAACACAUGCAAGUCGAGCGCCCCGCAAGGGGAGCGGCAGACGGGUGAGUAACGCGUGGGAAUCUACCCAUCUCUACGGAAUAACGCAUGGAAACGUGAGCUAAUACCGUAUACGUCCUUCGGGAGAAAGACUUAUCGGAGAUGGAUGAGCCCGCGUUGGAUUAGCUAGUUGGUGGGGUAAAGGCCUACCAAGGCGACGAUCCAUAGCUGGUCUGAGAGGAUGAUCAGCCACACUGGGACUGAGACACGGCCCAGACUCCUACGGGAGGCAGCAGUGGGGAAUAUUGGACAAUGGGCGCAAGCCUGAUCCAGCCAUGCCGCGUGAGUGAUGAAGGCCCUAGGGUUGUAAAGCUCUUUCACCGGUGAAGAUAAUGACGGUAACCGGAGAAGAAGCCCCGGCUAACUUCGUGCCAGCCGCCGCCGUAAGAC